ACUCAAAUGAAUAGACGGGGAUCCGCACAAGUGGUGGAGCAUGUGGUUUAAUUCGACAGUAAGCGAGGCACCUCACCAAGGUUUGAAAUCUAGCUGCAGAGCCCAGAAAUGGGAUGUCCUUCGAGGGUGCUAGACCAGGUGCUGCAUGGUUGUCGUCAGCUCGUGUCGUAAGAUGUUCCGUUCAGUCGGGAAACGAGCGCAACCCCUGUGAAGUGUUAUAUAUGUCACUUCAGACUGCCCUCUCAUUUGUUCAGAAACGAUUUCGUUUGUGAUCAGGUGAGAGGGAGGAAGGCGGGGAUGACGUCAAAUCAGCAUGGCCCUUUGACACCUUGGGCGACACACGUGCUACAAUGGCCGGAAUAAAGGGUUGCCAAAUCGCGAGAUGGAGCUAAUCCCAAAAAUUCGGUCUCAGUUCGGAUUGAAGGCUGCAACUCGCCUUCAUGAAGCUGGAAUCACUAGUAAUCGUUGAUCAGCCACGCAACGGUGAAUGCGUUCUCGGAUCUUGUACACACCGCCCGU
rnacentral:rRNA from 1 species